CAACCUGCCGAUAACUCCGGAAUAGCCUUUCGAAAGAAAGAUUAAUACCGGAUGGCAUACGAAUAUCGCAUGAUAUUUUUAUUAAAGAAUUUCGGUUAUCGAUGGGGAUGCGUUCCAUUAGUUUGUUGGCGGGGUAACGGCCCACCAAGACAACGAUGGAUAGGGGUUCUGAGAGGAAGGUCCCCCACAUUGGAACUGAGACACGGUCCAAACUCCUACGGGAGGCAGCAGUGAGGAAUAUUGGUCAAUGGGCGAGAGCCUGAACCAGCCAAGUAGCGUGAAGGAUGAAGGCUCUAUGGGUCGUAAACUUCUUUUAUAUGGGAAUAAAGUAUUCCACGUGUGGAAUUUUGUAUGUACCAUAUGAAUAAGGAUCGGCUAACUCCGUGCCAGCAGCCGCGGUAAUACGGAGGAUCCGAGCGUUAUCCGGAUUUAUUGGGUUUAAAGGGAGCGUAGGUGGAUUGUUAAGUCAGUUGUGAAAGUUUGCGGUUCAACCGUAAAAUUGCAGUUGAAACUGGCAGUCUUGAGUACAGUAGAGGUGGGCGGAAUUCGUGGUGUAGCGGUGAAAUGCUUAGAUAUCACGAAGAACUCCGAUUG
rnacentral:rRNA from 1 species